ensembl:snRNA U2 U2 spliceosomal RNA
AUCGCUUCUUGGCCUUUUGGCUAAGAUCAAGUGUAGUAUCUAAUUGCAGUUAUAUGGGUCUUGUCUUUCCUUUUGCUAAGUUUGCCUAAGGGUUUACUUGUUGUAUUUAUUCUUUCAAAGAACCAAC